AAACAGCAACAGUCAUUAUUAUCUCUCAUGGUUCAUGUGGGUUGGUGUUUGGGAAGUAUUCAGUGGGGUGGUUCUGGGUUGGGGUGUCCCGUGAUGUUGCAGUCCGAUGGUAGCUGGAACUGCAGUCAUCUCACGAGCUUCUUCAUUCACAUGUCUGGUACCCGCGCAGGAUGAUCCAAAUAUCUGGAGUCUGAAACAGCUGGGGCUCCUGGGUGCCUCCCUCUAUCUCUGUGUGAUGUCUCUACAUGGUCUCUUCUGCAUGACGGCUUCAUGGUAGCUGGACUUCUUACAUGGUGGCUCAGGGUGUCAAAGACACCAAUCGGGCUAUAGACACCCUGAAUGUUGGACAUGCCAUAUGGAAUCGGGGAAUGGCAACAUUAAAGAUCUUGUCUUUAAAGUAAAGAAAAUGGAAGGUAUAAUAUCCUUCCAUGUAUCCUGAUGUUGUAGAGAAUGUGGUACAGCUUGUGUAUUCAUAUACCCGACCUGGGCUGAUGAUUGGAAAUUCACCUG
rnacentral:lncRNA from 10 species